AGAAUCAACGCUGGCGGCGUGCCUAACACAUGCAAGUCGCACGAGAAAGGGACUUCGGUCCUGAGUAAAGUGGCGCACGGGUGAGUAACACGUGAAUCAUCUACCUCCGAGUGGGGAAUAACCUAGAGAAAUCUGGGCUAAUACCGCAUAACACUUACGAGUCAAAGCAGCAAUGCGCUUGGAGAGGAGUUCGCGGCAGAUUAGUUAGUUGGCGGGGUAAUGGCCCACCAAGUCAGUGAUCUGUA
rnacentral:rRNA from 1 species